rnacentral:piRNA from 1 species
UUCUAGGACAUUUUUGCAGAA